UACAGAGACUGCAAGCGUUAUUCGGAUUCACUGGGCGUAAAGGGUGCGCAGGCGGCCAAGUGUGUGAGGUGUGAAAGCCCGGGGCUUAACCCCGGAAUUGCACCUCAAACUACAUGGCUAGAGCAUUGGAGAGGGUAGCGGAAUUCACGGUGUAGCAGUGAAAUGCGUAGAUAUCGUGAGGAACACCAGAGGCGAAGGCGGCUACCUGGACAAUUGCUGACGCUCAGGCACGAAAGCGUGGGGAGCAAAAGGG
rnacentral:rRNA from 1 species